UACAGAGGUCCCAAGCGUUGUUCGGAUUCACUGGGCGUAAAGGGUGCGUAGGUGGCGAGGUAAGUCGGAUGUGAAAUCUCCGAGCUCAACUCGGAAAUGGCAUUGGAAACUACCUUGCUCGAGGGUUGGAGGGGGGACUGGAAUACUUGGUGUAGCAGUGAAAUGCGUAGAUAUCAAGUGGAACACCAGUGGCGAAGGCGAGUCCCUGGACAACUCCUGACACUGAGGCACGAAAGCCAGGGGAGCAAACGGG
rnacentral:rRNA from 1 species